rnacentral:rRNA from 1 species
AUAAGUAUAUUGUGUUGGAACUAUCGCCGGGCUGGCAAACCCGCGACAGUUUAAGAGCUUCGUGAUCUCACGAAGCAACAUGCCCCCUCAAUGCUUUGUAUUGUAGAAACUCAAAUUGAGGGUAGCAGAGUGGAAAAUCUAGCUGGUUCUUUAGGUUUUGAUAAGAGUUAUGAUGUUAGUAGCACAGGAAGAAGUGGUGGACUUGGAUUUUUUUGGCAUGAUUCAAUAAAGGUUGAGAUAAUUGGUUAUUCCGAGUACCAUAUUGAUGUGAUAGUAGAUGAUCUGGUUGAAACAAAAAAUAGAAUGACCUUUGUUUAUGGGGAGGCCCAAGUAUCGGAAAGGUACAAAACAUGGAGCAUGUUAUGA